GACGGAGGCACUAGCUAUACAUGCAGUCGAGCGGACAGAUGGGAGCUUGCUCCCUGAUGUUAGCGGCGGACGGGUGAGUAACACGUGGGUAACCUGCCUGUAAGACUGGGAUAACUCCGGGAAACCGGGGCUAAUACCGGAUGCUUGUUUGAACCGCAUGGUUCAAACAUAAAAGGUGGCUUCGGCUACCACUUACAGAUGGACCCGCGGCGCAUUAGCUAGUUGGUGAGGUAAUGGCUCACCAAGGCGACGAUGCGUAGCCGACCUGAGAGGGUGAUCGGCCACACUGGGACUGAGACACGGCCCAGACUCCUACGGGAGGCAGCAGUAGGGAAUCUUCCGCAAUGGACGAAAGUCUGACGGAGCAACGCCGCGUGAGUGAUGAAGGUUUUUCGGGAUCGUAGAGCUCUGUUUGUUAGGGGAAGAACAAGUACCGUUCGAAUAGGGGCGGUACCUUGACGGUUCCCUAACCAGAAAAGCCAUGGGCUAACUACGGGGCCAGGAGCCGCGGGUAGUACGUGGGUGGCAAGCGUUGUCCCGGCUAUUUAUUGGGGCGUAAAGGGCUCGAAUGCUGUUUCUUAAGGACAGAAGU
rnacentral:rRNA from 1 species